AGAGGGUGAGAAUCCCSUAUGUGACUGUGGAUCGAGCCCAUGUGAAGCCUCUUCGAUGAGUCGAGUUGUUUKGGAAUGCAGCUCAAAAUGGGUGGUAAAUUUCAUCUAAAAGCUAAAUACUGGCUGGAGACCGAUAGCGCACAAGUAGAGUGAUCGAAAGAUGAAAAGCACUUUGGAAAGAGAGUCAAACAGUACGUGAAAUUGUUGAAAGGGAAGCGCUUGCAACCAGACCUGUCCGUAGGUGAUCAGACCGCUGUUCUCAGUGGUGCACUCGCUCUGCGAUCAGGCCAGCAUCGGUUCGGGCGGUCGGAUAAAGGCCUUGGGAAUGUAGCUCCCUUCGGGGAGUCUUAUAGCCCUCGGUGUAAUGCGGCCAGCCGGGACCGAGGACCGCGCUUCGGCUAGGAUGCUGGCGUAAUGGUUGUAAGCGACCCGUCUUGAAACACGGACCAAGGAGUCUAACAUCUAUGCGAGUGUUUGGGUGUUAAACCCACGCGCGGAAUGAAAGUGAACGGAGGUGAGAACCCUUAAGGGCGCAUCAUCGACCGAUCCAGAUGUCUUCGGAUGGAUUUGAGUAUGAGCAUAGCUGUUGGGACCCGAAAAG
rnacentral:rRNA from 1 species